UACAGAGGUCUCAAGCGUUGUUCGGAUUCAUUGGGCGUAAAGGGCGCGUAGGCGGCCAGCACAAGUCAGUUGUGAAAUCUCCGGGCUUAACUCGGAAAGGUCAACUGAUACUGUGCGGCUAGAGUGCAGAAGGGGCAACUGGAAUUCUCGGUGUAGCGGUGAAAUGCGUAGAUAUCGAGAGGAACACCUGCGGCGAAGGCGGGUUGCUGGGCCGACACUGACGCUGAUGCGCGAAAGCCAGGGGAGCGAACGGG
rnacentral:rRNA from 1 species